GCUGAGGUAGCUCAGUUGGGAGAGCACUCGACUCAACACCGAGUUGUCGCUGGUUCAAGUCCGGCCCUCGGCACCA
rnacentral:tRNA from 1 species